CCAAUCCUGACACAGGGAGGUAGUGACAAGAAAUAACAAUACAGGKCUAAUGUCUUGUAAUUGGAAUGAUGGUGACCCACACCCUCACCAGAGUAGCAAUUGGAGGGCAAGUCUGGUGCCAGCAGCCGCGGUAAUUCCAGCUCCAAUAGCGUAUAUUAAACUUGUUGCAGUUAAAAAGCUCGUAGUUGAAUUUUAGCGUGUUCGAGUUUGCCAUUCGUUUGGCUUUUUCGAGUUCGCUUUUGGGUUUUCCCUUUUUACUUUGAGAAAAUUAGAGUGUUUCAAGCAGACUUUUGUCUUGAAUACUUCAGCAUGGAAUAAUAGAGUAGGACUUUGGUUCUAUUUUGUUGGUUAUUGAACCUUAGUAAUGGUUAAUAGGAACGGUUGGGGGCAUUCGUAUUUAACUGUCAGAGGUGAAAUUCUUAGAUUUGUUAAAGACGAACUACUGCGAAAGCAUUUGCCAAGGACGUUUCCAUUAAUCAAGAACGAAAGUUAGGGGAUCGAAGACGAUCAGAUACCGUCGUAGUCCUAACCAUAAACCAUGCCGACUAGUGAUUGGAGGUCGUCGUUUUGCUGACCCCUUCAGGAACUUGAGAGAAAUCAAAGUCUUUGGGUUCUGGGG
rnacentral:rRNA from 1 species